CAUGGAGACACAGACUGCUUUCUGAACCAAUUCGCAGGAUCAAGCCGUGCCAUGUGUCAGCAGCAAUGUCGCGGGGAGACUGUACAAUGAGAGUUGAGAAGCAAGGCGUAAUAAUUUUCUAAUGUCAGGCGCAGCAGAAGGCUUCUCAGCGCCGCACAGCACCUGCCUCUCCAGAGUCCAGCUCGACACCACCGUGACAUCACAUCACAUCCUGCAGGGUGACUUGACAAGCGCCGCCCCGCCACCACCGUAUAAUUGCUUGCAAGUGCGCAGCAGCUCAGCUGCUCCGUGAAGGCGGCCUUGAUGGCUGUGAUACAACUACUCGGCUGCUGCUGAUCACCGGCAAUAGGCUGCAUUGUCAGUAUCCUGCAGUGCCUCUGCGAAAGCUAUUCAGCUGCCUGGUGACACAUGCACAAAACGUGUACUUUUUGUCCACAGGUUCACUAUCUCGGGUUUCCAUGGUGACGGGUCUCCUCGGAUGAUGAGUAUCACGCAUGACGUGGUCACGUCAUCUCUCAGCGCCUCAGCCACCGGGCGGGUCCCGCCGGACGGGCGCCGCUGCUAUUCACAAUGGUGGGGAUAUAAGGUCUCACAGUCCGGAAACUGCCCAAGAAGAGGAAAGAAACAUUGGAGGAGCGGCUGCAUAAAGAGCUUCCCGACUGCAUUUAAAGCAAAAGUGACAUUGGCAUUUCCCCCAUGCUUACAUCUAAUUGGUAUCAGUGACAUCACUGGGGGUAUAAGCAUUCAUCUGCAGGAAUAAGUCGCUGUGGGAUAAUAAUGCCUAUUCCAGUGGUUCCCAAACGUUCUUGAAUCAUGGCUCCCUAGAGUAUCAUAAUUUUUUCACGGCACACCUAGCAUAAAAGUUGUUUAUUGAUAAAUUUGGAAAAAAAAUAAAGUAAAUUGUGCCUACCUGUCAUCCUUAGGGUCGGCU